AUGAGGGUAGCCUCCAUGGUGGUCGUCCUCGUCCGAGACUCCGCGGGCUACGGCGCAGCCCUCGCUGACGCGCUCCGGCCGUCGCCGGGGCUCACGAGGGGUUCCUCGCCCUUCGAUCUCCCUCUCGAUAAGUACGGCCUCAACGGCGAGAAGGCCUCUGGCGAGCUCGUUAGCUUCUCUGACUCCAGUGGCUCUCCUCAGGUGUCCUUUUUUGUUCUGCCUGACUAUAGGCCUCCUGUUGCUGCAUGUGCUAUGAAUGAGAUUUUAGCAUUGAUUUCUUCUGAAGCUCCCUCCAUCCAGCCCGUUCUGAUUGUACCAUUCAUCACAAGACCAUCAGGCUGUUUCCAUGGAAUGGUUAAUGCAACCAAAACUGGGCAGUUAACUACACUUCACGCUGCUGAAAUAGGGGCAUCAAAUGAGUUUACUCACUUGUUGGUUGAUGGAAGUAUUAAACCUCCCCCAUCUUUGCAAAUACGUAGUGAACCAAUACAAUGUUUGCUGGAAAUAGUGCGGGUAUUGAAGAUACCCACAGUUCUUGUCACAUCAGGUGGGCAGCACCAAGGCAAAAGUUCUUCAGACUCUGACCUUGAGGUGCUGCAGUGCGUGGGAGAUCACGUAGCCAAGCACAUCAACUUGGAGUUCUCCAAAGAAACUGUCAUUGAGACAGGGGUUGAGAAAUCAGCGAGCAUUCAAGAACCCUGGCGUGAACUGUAUCUGUGA
rnacentral:rRNA from 1 species